AGUCCUGAGGUGGCUAUCACAUUGAAUUGCAAGUUCAAAGAAGCAGCUUCAAUACUGCCGGGGCUU
rnacentral:tRNA from 1 species